UGACGGGCUGGGGCAAACGGCCUCAGGGUACUGUGUGAGGUGUUGGGCUCUAUUUGUUUCAAGUAGAGUGAAGCGGUGCUGACCAGACCGGAGGAGUCGUAGCUCUUCUCUGCUUGCAGAGUCUUCCAGAGUGGAGUAAAGAAUGGCUGUUGAACAUCCACAAGGCACCUGCAAGAUACAGAAAUGGCAUUUAACACCCAUUUGUGCAAAUAAUUAUAAAGACCGAUGUAAGGAAUACCCAGGUCAAGAAAAAGAAUACAGCCAUCUCUAAAGCAGCCUCUGAUGUACCCCUCCACAAUCACAAACAAUUAUGCUCUUCUGGUGAUAACCACUGUGAUCAUUUCUUUGUCUUUCAUUAGAGCUUUGAUAUGAAUUCCAAAACCACAUAGAUUUAGUUUUUGUCUGUUUUCUAUCUUUGUAUGAAUAGACAUUCUUUUGUGUCUUUUUUCAUGAAAAACGUUUGUGAGCUUCAUUCAUAUUUCCUAUAACUACAGUUCAUUUUUUUCCAUUGCUCUCUAUAUACUAUCUUGUAUAAUAGUAUCAAUUUACUACUUAUCUAUUCUACUCUUCAUGGACAUUUGACUUGCUUCUAGUUUUUGGCUGCUAUAAGCAAUGUGACUACAAAUGUUUUGUGCACAUAUUUUGGUACACAUGUGCUUGUAUUUCUUUAAUAUAUAUACUAAAAUUGUAAUAAAAUUGUUGAGGGAUAGGGUUUGCGCAUCUUCAAUUUUACUAGACAGUGCUGGACUGUUCUCUAAAUAUACUAUGCAAGUUUUUUACUUGAAUCAGCAGUUUAAAAAGGCUCCUUUUGUUUCACAGUCAUGCCAGCUCUUGGCAUCGUCACACUUUAAAAUUUUUGCCAAUUUGGUAGCUAUCUAGUGUUAUCACAUUUAAUUGACAUGCCUGUAUUAUCAAUGAAAUUGAACACUAAUUCUUGCCCGCCUGGAUAUCCUCUUUUGUGAAAUGCUUGUUCAAAUAUUUUGCCAAUUUUUAACUGGGUUGUUUUUCUCUAACUGAUUUAUAGCAGUUGAAUAUAUAUAUAAAAUAUAUAUACAUAAUAUGUAUCUUCUAUAUUUUAGUUUACUGUCAGUUGCACAUGUGACAAAUAUUUUCUUCUACUCUGACUUGGUUUUUCACUCUGGUGUCUUCGGGUGAAUAGAGGUUUUGGAUUUCAAUGUGAUGAAAUCUUUUUCAAUAGUUAGUGCUUGUUUAAGAAAUUUUCUGCUACCUCAUGGUAAUGAACAUUUUCUUGUGUUCUCUUCUAAAAGCUUCCUAGUUUUUAGCUUUAACAUGUAUGUUUUUACACUACCUGGAAUUGAUUUGUGUAGGGUAGGGAUUCAAUUUCAUUUUAUCCCCCAUGUGAGUAUCCAGUUGCUCCAGUAUCAUUUAUUGAAAAGUUCAUCUUUUCUACACUGAGCUGCAGUGCCAUUGUAGUCAAAAAUCAAGUGACCAUUAUGGCUACAUCUGUUUCUGGACUUUAUGUUUUGUUCCAUUGCUCUGUUUGUCUCCCCUUGCAGCAAUACUCUGCUAUCUUAUUCACUGUGACUUUAUAAUAUUUGGAGCAAGUCCUCUUACCUUCUUGUUCCUCAAGAAUGUCUUGGCUGUUUGUGUUUCUUUGCAUUCCAUAUACAUUUUUGAAAUAGUUUGGUUCCACUCAAACAUCUUUUGGGAUUUUGAUUGAAUUGCAUUGUGUCUAUAAUUAUGUGAGUAGAAAUUUGGGGAAUCUUCUAAUAACAUGAAUCUCUCAAUUGAUAUUACAUUUUCUGCAUGUUUCUCAUCAAGGUCUUCAUUAUCUCCUGUAAAUAGUCUUUGGCAGGGACUUCCCUGGUGGUCCAGUGGUUAAGACUCCGAGCUCCCGAUGCAGGGGGCACAGGUUCGAUCCCUGGUCAAGGAAGUAAGAUCCCACAUACCACAAGGCGCUGCCAGAAAAAAAAAAAAAUAUUCCUUGGCAAAUAGGAAUAAUUUAAUCCAUCGUAUAUAGUAUUUCCCUUUUGCAUUGACUGCCAGGAAUUUGAGCACUUCAGAAAUGAUCAAUUUUAGUAAUAAUCUUAGCCUGGGUUUUUGACAUUGAAUACCUAUGAUGUAUGACCUUUGUGUAUGAUUUAACAUUUUUUCUUUAUUCUUAGCCUCCUCAAAUACAUUUUUGGAAGCAGGGGAUAUAAAAACGAGAUAUAGACUUAGAUACAGAUGUAGAUAUUUACUGUCUAAUAUUUUUAUUUUAAUAACAUUCUUGUCUAAUCAAGUCAGUUUUGUAUGGUACCUUUUGCUGUUCUCCCUAUAUUAUAUUUCUUUUUUAACUACUCUUUCCACUUCUCUUCCCCAGCCCCCUCAACCCCCUCCCCCACACUAUCCUCCAUCAGGCAGUUUCUGCCUCUGCCUCUUUGCCAUCUAUUCUCACUAACACUUUAGUUUAAAUAUUGGCUCCCUCAGAAAAAAAAGAAACAAAUCAUCCCUCAGGUUAUUUUACCUACACUACUAGUCUCUGUAACAUGGUAUAAAAAUUAGGGAUUCUAGUAUCAAAUGUGACAUCUGAUCUCAGCUACACCACCUACGAGCUGCUUAACCUGUAAACAAGAGGUUCUCAUUCUCAAUGUUGUUGAGAGUGAAAUAAGAUAUGUAGAACAUUUGGUACACAUCAGAAAUUCAAUAAAUGUUAGCUCUCCUCUCCUUUAUUUCCCAUUCUUGGGACCUCUAAAUCAAUUAUGGUAUAAAGUGGUUGCCUAAAAAGUUUUUUGGUGGGUCCCAAAGUCUUUUGGUGGGUCCCAAAAGAUCUUUUUUUUUUUUUAAUUGCUGAGGUAUAAUCGACAUAUAACAUUAUAUUUGUUUCAGGUGUACAAUGUAAUGAUUCAGUAUUUGUACAUACAGUUGACCCUUAAUGUGGAGGUUAGGAGCGCUGACUCUGCACAAUCAAAAAUCUUCAUAUCACUUAUAGUCGGUCCUCCACAUCCAUAGUUCCUCUGUAUCUGCAUUCUCGGAUUUAACCAACCACAGAUCCUGUAGUACUAUAGUAUUUACUACUGAAAUAAAUCUGCUUAUAAGUAAAACUACUCAGUUCAAACCCAUGUUGUUCAAGGGUCAACUGUAUUGCAAAAUGAUCACUACAGUAAGUCUAGUUAACAUCCAUCACCAUACAUAGUUACAAUUUUUUUCUUAUGAAUUUUAAGAUUUACUCUCUUAGCAACUUUCAAAUGCAAUUCAGUAUUAUUAACUCUAUACCAUGCCGUACAUUAUGUCCCCAAGCUUUAUUUAUUUUAUAACUGGAAGUUUGUAC